UACGUAGGGAGCAAGCGUUGUCCGGAAUCAUUGGGCGUAAAGCGCGCGUAGGUGGCUUCGUAAGUCCGUUGUGAAAGUCAAAGGCUCAACCUUUGAAAGCCGAUGGAUACUGCGGAGCUAGAGUACGGAAGAGGCGAGUGGAAUUCCUGGUGUAGCGGUGGAAUGCGCAGAUAUCAGGAGGAACACCAGUGGCGAAGGCAGCUCGCUGGGGACGUUACUGACACUGAGGCGCGAAAAGCGUGGGGGAGCGAAACAGG
rnacentral:rRNA from 1 species